AUGAUGAGACGGCGGCUCCGAUCCGUCCCACACGAGCCCCGGGUCGAACGGGGGCCAUGGUGGAGAGCGAUGCUGAACCUCCUCCCGACCACUCACUCCUCUGUGACCUCCCUUGGUUUCACGAAACACGACCAGGCGUUUUCCCUCAAAAUGACUCUUUCUCUCCCGCUCGGUGGCUGGGGAAGAAACAUCAAAAGACAUACCGCUGGAUCUUGUGGGAUGGAGUCCUUCUGUCACGUUACUCCACACAAGAACAGAGAACAGCUGGAUUCCUCUGCAUCUCUCUGUUGUGUGGAUGAGCAGCGGUUGGCUGGAUACUGGAGCGCCUGCAAAACCAUCAACAAAGCUUUAGACCCCAGCAAAAGACAGCAGCACACCAUGAGGAACCACGAUUAUGGGGCCGGCAACAACUCUCACUAACAUUAAAUAGUGCUUUACUUAUUGAUUAAAAAACCUUUACAAUUGCAAGACCAAUGUUAAAAUAGCUUAGAGCCUUCCACAAAAACUUCCCACAGAUUUGUAGUAUAUUGCAUUUUUAGUAAGUCUCAUGAUGAUUUACUAAUUUAGUCUAAGUAAGCAGUUUUAACUUAUGUAUCAAGUCAUGUGGUAAUCAUACCUUCUUAUUCAAUAAGAGUGUCUUUUAUUUUAUAGUACUUUUCACAAAACACAUAGUUUUAAAGCAGCUUUACAGAAAUAAAUAACAGGGUAAAGGUCCAUUAAAGGGAUGUAAAGUCGUUGUCAGAAUACUUCAUCUGUCAUCAGAAUUCAAUGAUGAACUGUCUUUAACUAUCAUUUUGCAUUAUUAAGACACUGUUUUCCAAAUGAAUGUUGUUCAGUGCUUUGACGCAAUGUAUUUUGUUUAAAGUGCUAUAUAAAUAAAGGUGACUUGACUUGACUUCAGCAGUGUGGCUAAUUCUUGAAGCAAAGUUUUGUCAGAACGAUGGAUUAACACAGCUCACUUAAGUGUCUUUGCAAUGAAUGGAAGAAGGGUCUGUAGUUUUCUAGAAAGACUGGAUUUAGAGAUGGUUUCUUCAGCAGUGGGCUUACUCGAGCCUGCUUAAGCUGAGGGAAAUGUUCCAGAGUGAAGAGAGGAGUUGAUAAUUUGAGUAAGUGAAGGUAUGUCUGAAGGAGAGAUCACUUGUAGGAGGUGAGUGGGGAUCGGAUCUAUUGGACAAGUAGUAGGAUGAUUGGACAGGAUAAGUUUGGAAACAUCCAUCUCUGAGAGUGAAGAGGAGGAGGAGAGAGUGUGCAUUAGUCAUUGUGAAGUUAUCCUCAGUUUGCAGUGUGGAGAAUUGGCCACUGAUGGUUCUUGUCUUAUUUGUGAAGAAAACUGCAAAGUCGUCAGCUGUAAAAGUCGAUGGAGGAGGAGGUGGAGGCAGAUUAAGAAGAGAAGAGAAAGUUUUGUAGAGUGUCCAAACUUCACAAAAGUUGUUAAUUUUUUUGUGGUAGCAUUUUAGCAGUGAAGACAUUAGCAGAGAAGAGAGGAGAGGCUGGUACACACUGAGGUCGGUAGAGUUUCUUGAUUUAUACCAUUUCCUCUCUGCAACUCUGAGUUUGGAGCGAUGUUCACUGAGAACCUCGGACAGCCAGGGGGCAGAUGGGGUGGUGCGUGCUGGUUUAGACGUCAGUGGGCAAAAGUUGUCCAAGCAAGAAGUUAGAGUGGAGAAAAGACUGUCCGUAGCAAUGUUCGUGUCCAGAGCUGAAAACUGAGAGAGUGAAGGAAGUGACGAUGAAACCACAGAGGAUAGGCGAGAUGGAGAGAGUGACCGAGAUGGAGAGACUGCACUGGAGUUUGUGCCGCUUCAGGAGUAAGUGCUUGGUUAGUAAUGAGGAAGUGGUCUGAGGUGUGCAGUGGAGCAAUCUUUUUGAAGAUUCUAAUUUCAUUUUCCAGCAGGAUUUGGCUCCUGCCCACACUGCCAAAAGCACCAAAAGUUGGUUAAAUGGCCAUGGUGUUGGUGUGCUUGACUGGCCAGCAAACUCACCAGACCUGAACCCCACAGAGAAUACUUGGGGUAUUGUAAAGAGGAAAAUGAGAAACAAGAGACCAAAAAAUGCAGAUGAGCUGAAGGCCACUGUCAAAGAAACCUCCGAAUUGAGGCAGUAAUUAAAGCAAAAGGAGCCCCUACCCAGUAUUAAGUACAUGUAUAGUGAUGAACAGAAUUAACAUACUUUUUUUUAUUCAUUUUUUUAUUGGUCUUAUAAAGUAUUCUAAUUUGUUUUCGUUAAAUGUGAGCCAAAAUAAUCACAAUUAAAAGAACCAAAGACUUAAACUACUUCAGUCUGUGUGCAUAGAAUUUAUUUAUAUACGAAUUUUCACAACUUGAGUUGAAUUACUGACAUAAAUUAACUUUUCCACGACAUUCUAAUUUAUUGAGAAGCCCCUGUAAAUCGCUUUAUGACUGUGUAUUUAUGCUUGUUUAUUUUUGUUGUAGUUGUAAGCUGGGUUAAUUAAUUUUUGAUUUGGUAUGGAGGCCUAAUUACGAUUAAGUGAUGUGUUUAUCACAGCCAUGGUUUAGAAAGGCAUAUAAAUAUCAUGGUUUUAAGAUUUUAGUCCCAGCCCUAAGCAGUUCAACCUAAUAUUACAUUUUAAUUCAUGCUAGAAUACUUAAAGUUUUGUUUUCAUCAAAAUAUUUAACUAUUUACAAGAGACUGGUAUUGAACAUUCAAAAUGAAAGUCUUCAUAAAAUGUAAGCCAAUAGCUUUACUCUGAAAAUACAUUUUAAUUCCUAAAUGUUUUGACAUUUAAAGAAUUAAAAAAUCUUGGCCUAGUCUGUCAGAUGCAUAUUUCAGAGAUGAGUUCAUAGAGAUGCAUUGUUUUUAAAUAUUUUUAAACAAAGCCUAUUUUUAUUAUUUUGUUUCAAGUAAAAUAUUUUAACAGAAUAUAAAAUAAUUUCUAAAAUAAUUAUAACAGAUUUUCAUGGUUCAAAUACUAAACUCAAGUUUAAUGUUCUCUUAUUUUUUCUUCUUUUGUUCUUUCAAUGACCGACGAGUAUUCUGCAGCCAUGCACUAUUACCUUCAGGCGGGGACCGUGUGCUCCGAUUACUUCACUAAACUAGUUCCUCUUGACGUCUACACCAACCAGGUGCUGGAAAUCUGCAGAACCUUAUGCACAAAUAAAGCAAAUGCUUUUAUUUCUAAUUUUGUCCUGUUAGUGUC
ensembl:lncRNA